UUAAUGAAGGGAGGGCUUUGCCAGGGUCAGUGCUUGGGAGCACUCAUUCUCCCACAGUACAAGGGGCACCCACUAAUUUUAUCUAUGCGUUUGCGCUGCUUACUAAUUCUAUGUUGUUCUCAUCUUCCACAGUCUUGGUCUUGGAGCAGGAGAGGUGAAUGAUGGGAUCCAAAAAAAGGCUUGACAUAAAGGAGAUUGAAUACCACUAAUGGCAACACUAGAGAUUUCCGAAGCGAAGAAGAUGGCGCCCAUGAACUCCGAUGCCUAACUCUGCACCGAGGAGGGACAGAACUCACUGGGCACGGAUUGGCUGGCUUCUUUGGACCGUGCUCACCGGCUCCACAUGCUGUUUUCGCACCAUUCCUCCACCCCAUGCAGAGCCCAGACCAGGCUUCACAGCCAGCACCACCUUCCUACGCACAUCACAGCGCUGACAGGCAAGUCUCUAUUCUUCUAUGCACAUAGGGGGAAAGAGCGCAGGGCCCCCAGGGGCCCCUAUUAUUAUAACUACCUAUGCCUUGUUAUCUCCAUAGACUACGUACUACACCAAGGAGAAGCCCACAGGGCUUAUCUUCUCUAGGCUGGCUACCCCUGCCUCCUUUUAAAAAAAAAAAACGUACUUUACUGCAUAAAAUUCCCUACUGGGGUUUUUACACCCUACCCUCUAGACUAGGGGAAGGAGCACAAUGGCCAACAAGGCAGAAGAGCCCAGGACCAACAAGUCCUCAGCUCAAACACACCCACAGGUCUCAUUUUUGGCCUGCUCAAAUUGUAAAACAAAACUUUCUUCGGCCUCGGCUGAUUCUAUGUGUGGGGCCUGCAGAAAUACUGACUCACUACCGAUACCUUCGGCAGGUAGCUCAGACCCUGAACUUCUUAGGGCUAUUUCCCUCUCACUUGCAGGCAUUCAACAUCUGGCCCGCAUUCCAGAGACCUUAGACAAAGUGCUUGAGCACUUAUCUCAACCCACACAUCAUGAAUGUCGCCCGGGGACCUCAAAACAUCACGCACCCUCCCCUCCAGACUCCCCCAGGGAACUGUUCUCUCCCUCUGACGAGGAAGGCCAGGUUCUAUCCGCUGAUGACUCUGAUCAGGACCUACCUAUCAUUUCCAGGCUUCCAACCAUAACCUCAGACAGAGCCAAAUUCCUCGCCAUCGUUCAAGCUCUUGCCUUGGCGGGAACCAUUCAACCUGUACCUUCAUCUGCCAGGGGAAGAGGUUCCCAAUUUGAAUUUGUGAGUUUUGACCAACAAUUCAAAUUUGAAUUUGAAUUUACAAUUCGAAUCUUAAUAAAUCUGCCCCUUAGUAUGUGAUUAUUCAACCAUAUUUAACUAUUUCCAAUGUAUCUGUAUGAAACUAUGAAUCAAUUAGUUGCACAAUUUACUUGACACAGAGCUUGCUGGUAUGUAUGUUAUCUAAAAAUAAAGAUUUAUCUUCCUUGU